rnacentral:rRNA from 1 species
ACGGGUGAGUAAUGUAUAGCUAAUCUGCCCUACACUAGAGGACAACAGUUGGAAACGGCUGCUAAUACUCUAUACUCCUGUCUUACAUAAGUUAGAUAGGGAAAGUUUUUCGGUGUAGGAUGAGGCUAUAUUGUAUCAGCUAGUUGGUGAGGUAAUGGCUCACCAAGGCUAUGACGCAUAACUGGUCUGAGAGGAUGAUCAGUCACACUGGAACUGAGACACGGUCCAGACUCCUACGGGAGGCAGCAGUAGGGAAUAUUGCUCAAUGGGGGAAACCCUGAAGCAGCAACGCCGCGUGGAGGAUGACACUUUUCGGAGCGUAAACUCCUUUUGUUAGGGAAGAACAAUGACGGUACCUAACGAAUAAGCACCGGCUAACUCCGUGCCAGCAGCCGCGGUAAUACGGAGGGUGCAAACGUUACUCGGAAUCACUGGGCGUAAAGGACGCGUAGGCGGAUUAUCAAGUCUCUUGUGAAAUCCUAUGGCUUAACCAUAGAACUGCUUGGGAAACUGGUAAUCUAGAGUGAGGGAGAGGCUGAUGGAAUUGGUGGUGUAGGGGUAAAAUCCGUAGAGAUCACCAGGAAUACCCAUUGCGAAGGCGAUCUGCUGGAACUCAACUGACGCUAAUGCGUGAAAGCGUGGGGAGCAAACAGGAUUAGAUACCCC